rnacentral:rRNA from 1 species
GAUGAACGCUGGCGGCGUGCCUAAUACAUGCAAGUCGAGCGAACGGCGAGAAGCUUGCUUCUCUGAUGUUAGCGGCGGCCGGGUGAGUAACACGUGGAUAACCUACCUAUAAGACUGGGAUAACUUCGGGAAACCGGAGCUAAUACCGGAUGAUAUUUUGAACCGCAUGGUUCAAAAGUGAAAGACGGUCUUGCUGUCACUUAUAGAUGGAUCCGCGCUGCAUUAGCUAGUUGGUAAGGUAACGGCUUACCAAGGCAACGAUGCAUAGCCGACCUGAGAGGGUGAUCGGCCACACUGGAACUGAGACACGGUCCAGACUCCUACGGGAGGCAGCAGUAGGGAAUCUUCCGCAAAGGGCGAAAGCCUGACGGAGCAACGCCGCGUGAGUGAUGAAGGUCUUCGGAUCGUAAAACUCUGUUAUUAGGGAAGAACAUAUGUGUAAGUAACUGUGCACAUCUUGACGGUACCUAAUCAGAAAGCCACGGCUAACUACGUG